GAUGAACGCUGGCGGCGCGCCUAAUACAUGCAAGUCGAGCGAACGGACGAGAAGCUUGCUUCUCUGAUGUUAGCGGCGGACGGGUGAGUAACACGUGGAUAACCUACCUAUAAGACUGGGAUAACUUCGGGAAACCGGAGCUAAUACCGGAUAAUAUUUUGAACCGCAUGGUUCAAAAGUGAAAGACGGUCUUGCUGUCACUUAUAGAUGGAUCCGCGCUGCAUUAGCUAGUUGGUAAGGUAACGGCUUACCAAGGCAACGAUGCAUAGCCGACCUGAGAGGGUGAUCGGCCACACUGGAACUGAGACACGGUCCAGACUCCUACGGGAGGCAGCAGUAGGGAAUCUUCCGCAAUGGGCGAAAGCCUGACGGAGCAACGCCGCGUGAGUGAUGAAGGUCUUCGGAUAGUAAAACUCUGUUAUUAGGGAAGAACAUAUGUGUAAGUAACUGUGCACAUCUUGACGGUACCUAAUCAGAAAGCCACGGCUAACUACGUG
rnacentral:rRNA from 1 species